GUCUGGAAGGCUCCGCGAGGAGAGGAAGGGGACGCGGCUACCUUCUCCGCUACCCCGCCCUCCUUAAAGGGGCAGCAUCUUAAAGGCUGAGACGGCUUCUGGGUGGACCCGCGUCUUGCAGCCUUCUCAUUUUACAGAUGGAAAACUGAGGCUUGUCCAAGAUCACACAAAACUGAAAGUGAGAAGAUAGUCACCUAUGGACCAGAAAGCAGGCCCUCACCAAACUUCAAACCUGCCAGCCUGGAUCGUGGGAUUCCCACCUCCACAACUGGUGAAGAACACGAACACAGGGAGUUAGAGUCCCACAUGCUGAUAACUCCAUCAAGAGAGAAGAAAGGUUUUUCUCUUCCAGCUGCAGAAUGAGAACCUCCAGGGAAGGAGUAAUAAUAAAAUAGGUCCAGUCUGAGUCUUAAAAAAGGAAGCAAAUAUAAUAGCUCCAAACAUGAUUACAGGUAAGAUGGAUUCUUUACCGCUGGGCCACCUAGGAAGCCCCAUGGGUAAACUGAAAAAUG